GCUACAUUAAACUAUUUCCUUAACUGAUUAAGGUUUCAUAAAUAACUUUUGUGAAGAGACGUAUAUAGUUUCUUUGUUUGUUGGCAACUUAACCAGAUGAAUAACCGUAUAAGUUUCAUCAUAUCAUUUACCAAAGAUGUGUGGAGUGCACGAUUUUUCCUUCGACGAGUCUAAUCUUCAUCGCGAUCAUGCGAACCAGUUUCUCGAAGAAGAUAUUGCGAAGAUUAUUGACCUCGCUGAGAUGUACUUUUUUGAACUUAUUCCAAAGAACAUGGAAAAAAGCCUUGGCUAUUAGAUGGCGUUAUUACAUUAAUUAAAAAGGAGAUAAGCUUUGCGAUUACAACGAUACACAUAAGCAGAGGUUACAAAAUAAUUUAACUAAACUGUAGUUUUGUGCAAUAAAUAUUUUUCUAAAGUAAA